CGUAGGAGACAAACGUUAUCCGGAGUUACUGGGCGUAAAGGGCGUGUAGGUGGUAAUGUAAGUCUGGCGUGAAAUUUUUCGGCUUAACCGGGAAAGGUCGUCGGAUACUGCGUAACUAGAGGACGGUAGAGGCGUGUGGAAUUCCGGGUGUAGUGGUGAAAUGCGUAGAGAUCCGGAGGAACACCAGUGGCGAAGGCGACACGCUGGGCCGUACCUGACACUGAACCGCGACAGCAUGGGGAGCAAACAGGAUUAGAAACCCUGGUAGUCCAUGCCGUAAACGAUGCUAGCUGGGUGUUCGAGGGGGGAAACCCCGUCGGGGUACCGAAGUCAACACGGUAAGCUAGCCGCCGUGGGGAGUACGGUCGCAAGAAUU
rnacentral:rRNA from 1 species